rnacentral:tRNA from 1 species
CCAUCGGUGGUUCAGUGGUAGAAUACUCGCCUGCCACGCGGGCUGCCCGGGUUCGAUUCCCGGCGGAUGCA